UACAGAGGGGGCGAGCGUUAUUCGGAAUUAUUGGGCGUAAAGGGCGCGUAGGCGGCCUUGUAAGUCCUGUGUGAAAUCCCCCGGCUCAACUGGGGAACUGCACAGGAGACUGCUUGGCUUGAGUUCGGUAGGGGAGCGGGGAAUUCCUGGUGUAGCGGUGAAAUGCGCAGAUAUCAGGAGGAACACCAGUGGCGAAGGCGCCGCUCUGGGCCGAGACUGACGCUGAGGAGCGAAAGCGUGGGUAGCAAACAGG
rnacentral:rRNA from 1 species